AAGUCGUAACAAGGUCUCCGUUGGUGAACCAGCGGAGGGAUCAUUACAGAGUUGAAAAACUCCCCUAAACCAUUGUGAACCUACCACUAAACAGUUGCUUCGGCAGGCAGCCCUAGGCUUCUGUUUUCACAGAUCCUUAGGGCCCUAUAGCCUAAUUGUCAGGUGCCUGCCAGAGGUUAUACAACUAGACAUUGUUUAUAGCCUGUUAGAAUUUGUACUACCAAUUAGUCAAAACUUUCAACAACGGAUCUCUUGGUUCUG
rnacentral:misc_RNA from 1 species